UUUUUUUAUAACUGUAAAUAUUUUGGUGCUCUUUAUUAAAGUGAGAUGACCCCCUUUCAAUAAAUACACCAUUUUCCAACCUGCCAGCCUUUUCUCUACCUUCUCUAUUAUCCCAUCCCAAAUAGCUCUAGCCUUAAACGUUGCUCCCAACGGAAGGCCCAAAUAUUUCAUAGGCAACGAAGACACCUGACAAUCCAAAAGGCUUGCUAAGCUAUUAAUGUUGGUCACCACACCCACUGCAAUCAUCUCGGAUUUACCAAGAUU